rnacentral:lncRNA from 1 species
ACGGAUUCCAGUGGCCAGGUAACGCUGGUGGUUGCCGGUAAGGGUGCCAGCGACAUGAAUGGGUUCAUCACAGUCCCGGCAAAAUAGGGCUCGAUCCUCGACACAGAAUAUGAAAGCUGCCUUCUCCUAGAAAAUACAUGGAGACAACAAAAAAAUUGAUAUGAAUCAUCAUCACAUGCUCUAAAUACUGUUGAAGUGUAUCAAUGUACAUAUUUACUUGGAUACUAGUAGUAUCUUUCCAGAAUUUGCUGCUACUCACUAUUACUAGUUUGCAAACAGUGAUAUUCUUGUUUUAUAAGCUGACCAUCUGCUUAAUUCUGCCUGUGCAGUGGCAUUGGUCGAUAAAGGUCAAUAUGGGGAGUCUAAUAAUAGCUUUUCUGAGGUCCUGAGAUUUCCUAUGAUCCCUGGAAUCCUGGUGUUUUUAUCAACUGAGAUGAUCAAGCAGGUAUGACUUGCUCAGAUUUGUAUUUCUUGAGUGAAUGAUGGGUCGAUACCUCAGUUCAUUUGCCAGAGCUGAAAUGAAACACACAAUGCUGAUGACAUCUGAUCACCAUUGGGUUAAUCAGUCCAUAACUGUGUGAUUAAAUUAGGUGCAGAUAAUUUGCUAAAAAAGAGACAAAAGAUGGUUAGCAAAGGCCGACGACCGCUAAAUUCUGUUAAAUAGAUGCAGUUCUGAUGUUGCUCGUUUUUUUACAGACGUGCAGAGAAGGUUUUAGAUAAGUAAAGACUAAGAACAAGAAAGAUAUGCGGAUGAGUGUCAUGGUCAUAAAUCAAACAUGUUGAAGAACUCGAGAAUCUUACUGAACUUUAAGAUCAUUUUUAAGAGGAAUUCUUUUUCCAGUCAAUUCCUUUUCAGCCAAACCCUUUGCUUUCUGUUCAUGCAGCAUGACUGUAUGUUUUGCAUUCGGCACACAACUUUAUCUAGCACCAAAUGUAUUAUUGUUGGCAUUUCAAAUUCUUUCAGGCAGAAGGAUUGAAGUAGUCAAGUGACACAGAACCAAGAAAUAUGAAUCUAAUCAGGUGCAUAACAAGGAUAUCAUGUCGUUGGAAGCUGGAAAGAUGUUGGUUUGAAGUAAUAAUUUGAGAAAUAUUGUUUCAGAAGACCCUAUGGCGAAAAUUGCACGCCUUAAGCUAAAAAUGUUCAAGCAAAGACAUGCAAUUCUUCGUAUGACUUCAAUCUGCUUAGAUUUUUUCCUCUUUCAUCUUCUUCAGCCUUCUUUUUCUUUCUUAACAAAACAUGGCCUCUAGGGAGCUUUCUCCAUUCUUGCUGCCAGCGCAAAUCAUUAAUCAUGAUGUUCCAGAUGCUAUCGAUGAGAAAGAAUCCUACAAACUUGUUGCAAUAUUGAAUAAAAUGGCAAGCAUCUCAUAGAUCAUUACCAACAUACUUUUGGAAUGUCAUAUUUUGCUGGAAAAAUGUGUAAAAUUUUCCAUUGUGCAUAUCUCCAGAGAAAGCUAAUCAAGUAGAUGACUUGUUAGCUGAUUAUGCUAGGCAGGUAGGCCUUCCAAUUGAGCUUGGAUCCAUUCUUGCAAGCAAUGCUCUUAAAGAUAUGGUGAUCAUCUUGUUUCAAAUUAUAAAAAAAAAAAAGUUUCCAUAUUCUAAAGGUAAGAACCUCUUUGGUUAAGACAAUCAUCAAGGUGUUCUUUUUCCCCUGAAUUGAACACCUAGUUGAAUGGAUAUAAUUAAUUCAAAAAACUGUGGUUUAAUUAAUCUAAGAUCUUAUGUUUCCUUGAAUAAGAAGGAUGAAAAAAAUAUUAAUUUGUAACCAAGCAAAUAGACAGCAAUAUGAUGCUUGUAUCCUGAUACUCCACAAGCACAGAGGAAGCUAUCACUGAUAACUAGCUUGUAGGUGGGUGCUUGACCUUUGUUUCAGUACCAUUCCUACAAAAUUUUCAGACUCCAUUUCAAAUGUGAAUAAAAAAAAAGACUAUGCUCUCAAUAAGCAACAUCAUGUUAUAGCCCCAUAAAUCCACUUGCAUAUUUUCCCCAAAGGAAGAGAUAAGAACCACACUCAAACACUAAGAAGAUAUUCCUGAUGACUCUGCCAUUCUGAAAGCUUAUCGAAUCUAACUAGGAAAAUGCUACACUUAUCUUAUGGAUAACUUUAUUGUGAGUAUCCAUUGAAUCAAAUGAAUUAAAAGUCCUCCUUCAUAAUUACUUGAUUGAUUUUGAACCCUCCUAACCUUGAGUUAUAUAUUUAGCUGUGGUAUUAACCAUUGUGCUAAUAUCUUGAUUACCAUAGGAAGGCCCCUCUGUUUUGUGUCUAAUAUCUCUUUCUGUAUGAUUCAAAUCCAUUUACUAGAGUUCCAAUUCUGACAUCACAAGUUUACUGCAAUGAAGAAAUACCAGAUUGAUAUCUGUUUCGAGGUAAUGGUGCCCCAAAAAUGAGAAGAAUUGAUCUACAUGCUAUUAUAGAUGAUUUGAAGGACUCAGAAUAAUGUUGAAACUACAGAAUAAACUGUCAAGCUUUAGCAUGUCAAGAUUUGAACUCCCUUGUCUAAGUUGCUCACCUCAUGCUGCAAGAGAGAUGACUGAGAGCAUGAGAGGAGAGAAAGGCAAGGCAAAAGGGGAGGGGGGGGUGUUCAGUUGAGUAUAGUACUUGGCAGAUGUCACAGCGAGGGAGCUUGUUGGAGAGGCAGUCGAGGCGAAGCCUCUGGUGCUUGCUCGCCAGCUUGUUCGCCAAGUGGAUCUCGACGUCGCAGCUGGCGCAAAGGGCGGCCUCGUCGGCGCAGCAUAUCAGCGUCGC